CAUCCCUCUCGGAAAAAAUCCCCAAAUCGAUCCGCCUCUCUCUCUCUCCCCCCUUCUCGCCGGCGGCCGGCGCGGCGCGGCGAGGCGGAUUCGGCGGCGAUUUCCUUCCUAGGGUUUGGUCUUCCUCCUCCCCUCCGGCCUCCUCUCGCACCGACGGCAUCGCCCCCUCCCUUCUAGAUCCGCCUCGCCAUCGAAAACCCUAGACGACCACGAGCCGCCAUGACCGUCCCCCUUCCCACCACCCGCCGCCGAUGGCGGCAUCGACGAUUACAACCUGCGAUUACCGUCAUGUCGUGCGGUUCGUUCGUCUCCCCCUCCGCGGCGACGCCUCGAGCAGGUGGAGUUUAUGUUAUUCAUACAUGCAAGUUAUGUCAAUGACACCUAACUGGUUUAGUUUAGAUCCUUGUGUCUCAUUGUCUCCUUUGCAAGACAGAAGUUCUAUUUGAUUAAAGCAAUGCUGCAAUGUAUGUUGAUUGUGAGGCAAUGACUGAAAAGGAUGAUUAUGAGAGCAAUACUGAAUCACCUGUCUGUUUGUAUUAGUAUGUGAGUGUGACAAUAAUAUUAAUGGCAACUAUAUCCUUCGUCAUUAGCUGGAAGAACAUUUUUUUUGUUUUAAAAAGCAAAUAUAGCUCGUGUGAUAGUACUUUUUA